UUGGAAGUUGCUAGGAACAAACAAACCAAGCAGUCAAGUAAUUCGGACCCAUUUUACAGACUUUCUAAAAAAGUGGUGGAUGGAGAUUACACACAGUGGAUGACAUUGUCAGUAGAAUUUUGCUCAGAAACAAAUGUUGGGAAUGAACCUUCGUGGUGGGCAGUAGAUCUUGGUGCAAUUUAUGAAAUCAGCAACGUAGUUAUCUUUGGCAGAAGUGACUGUUGUGAUGAGCGACUUUCGAAUUUUAGCAUUGAGGUAAUAAGGCCAUGCAGCAGAAACAACAGCGAUUGGUUUGAGGACAGUGUAAUCGAAGUCUGUUAUUUUCAGGAAGCACCAACUACAAUUCUAAAUGCUUCGUGCCGUAAAAGGAUAUUUGGACAGUAUGUUCGCAUACGACUUAGUAAUCCAAAUUAUUUAGCACUGUGUGAAGUUGAAGUACAUGGAACAUUCAUUGGUUUUCUACAGACAGUUACCUUUCCUUAUGCCUGUGGAUUUCAAGGUCACAGUUAUGAUGGACAUAAUAAGACCCUUGGUAGUGCCAUUGUCUACAGCGACAUUCAUUGUACCUACAUAUGUUCUUACACGAAAGAAUGUCAUGUUGCAGACUUCAACAAGAAGACCUCGUGUUGUACCUUGAUGAAAGAGAAAACUGGAUCCAAUGUUGUGGCUAAAUCUGACCACAACGUUUUUCUAGUCCAUUAAACAUUUGUCUUUGACGAAGUUGAUAUUAGUACUGUUUUUUUGCAAUUCUGAAAACCCAAAAUUUCAAAACAAUAAGUAGACCUAAAACUGUAAAUGCAAGAAGUUUAAAACCCUACUGCAAAUAUAUCAUACAGAGUACAAAUAAAUACUGAUAUUUAACAAAUUAACGUCUAAUUAAAUCAACUGGACGUUAUUUAGUUUUUUAAAACUUUUUGAUUGAAUUAAAGACUUGAAAAAAUGUCCAUGUUUACAGUUUUAAACUACUGAUAGUUAGAUUUUGAAAUGUUAGUUGUAGAUUUUAUUAAGUUAAAUUAAUUAACGCUUAUAAAGCCAGCUCUUUGUUGCUUAUUAUUUAUUGGUAUUUAAUCAAUUGUAUUUUACGAUUCUUUGCGAUGACAAAAUAAAUACAAAUUAACCUAAAAGCUUUUCGUUAUUUAUUGUUGCAAUAUACCUUGAA